GCUGGGUGUGGUGGUGUACACCUGUAAUCCCAGCAGCCUGGGAGGCUGAUUCAGGAGGACUGCAAGUCUGAGGUCAGCCUCAGUAAUUUAGAGAGGCCCGAGGCAACUUAGCAAGACCCUGUCUCAA
rnacentral:sRNA from 1 species